UACAGAGGUGCCAAGCGUUAGGCGGAAUUACUGGGCGUAAAGCGUGCGCAGGCGGCUUUGCAAGACAGAUGUGAAAUCCCCGGGCUUAACCUGGGAACUGCAUUUGUGACUGCAUGGCUGGAGUGCGGCAGAGGGGGAUGGAAUUCCGCGUGUAGCAGUGAAAUGCGUAGAUAUGCGGAGGAACACCGAUGGCGAAGGCAAUCCCCUGGGCCUGCACUGACGCUCAUGCACGAAAGCGUGGGGAGCAAACAGG
rnacentral:rRNA from 1 species